AAAAAAGUUGCACCUACGUUUGAAACGCACUCAUUCUUUUCUCCCACGCACACAAGCAACGAACCAAGUUCUUCUUCCCUGUGAUAAGAUCGCACAAAUUUUGAAACCCUAAUUUACUACAUUUUGUUUUGGACCUUCAUCUGAAUCAUAAAAAUCAAUCGCAUCGGAGCCCGUUGCGGCGGCUCGGGCUUUCUCGACGAAGGAUUUCCCCUCCGUUGUUGUUCGGGUGGACAAUUUUAGCUGCGUGAGGUGUUACGACAGCAUUAAGAUCCGCUCUAACAACGACAGAGCAGUGUGACUAAGGGAGAGAGACAAAGAGAUAGCCGAACAUGGUUCGAGUUCUAGACCAAUGACACCAGUGGUCCAAGCCUCCGAGGUCGACGAUGCUGAAGUUUGGAAAACAGAGGAUUAAGCUCAGUGCAGAGAAGGCUAUUUUUGUUUUCAUCAAAACAAUCUGCCUCUAAUUGGGGAGCUCAAGGUGGGUCUAACACGGUGUUGGUGGCUUGAGAGAUUAGGAAGCAGUGCAGUCAAAAAGCAUUCUAUGGACUGAAAUUUAUUGGCAGUGAAUCCAAUGGCCUUGUUGUCUGGAACAAGCUACCGGAAAGCAUAAAUUACAUAAAGAAGCUAAGAAUACAAUAGAUACUUGAGCUGCAAGUGGUAAACCAGAGGCGAAUUUCUCUUCUAUGGUGGUGAUGUUGAGCUACAAUUUCUGCAAGUUCGUUGAGAAGAAUAAAAUUUACAAGCAUAAAGACAAAUUCUGCAGAAAGAUCAUCUCAGACGGAUUGUUAACCCUCAGAUACGAUGCUUCAAUUUGCAAAUCUUGCUGGGAAAAAUCUCCCCUAUAUCCUGUUGGUAUUGUAAUUUAUCUAUUUCACUUUCUUCUCGUAGUUAUGAAUUUGAAUUAGGUUAAUUAAUUGAGUGAAAAGUGAAAUCAACGUAAGAUUUUGUUGUAUUUAGGGAUUUAAUUUAAUUGAUUUUGUGCAAGGGAAUAUGAAUAUAUAGAUCUGAUGAUGGGGAAAGAGUGAAUUCUAAUUGACAUUGGAAGCUCUUCACAGUAUGAGAAAACUAAUUGUUAAUCUUAUUUGCAAUAAUUUUGCUUUGAUAUGAAAUUAUUAUGAAUUAGUUCAAAUGUUUCCUUCAAUCAAAGGUUAAACUUGGCAGUUAUGUUCCUAUUGAUCCUCUGCUGAAACUUUGAGCUCUUAAGCCACAUUAUAUAGGCAACUUAUAUUAUCAAAAAAGGUGUUUAAAUAUGUCAAGUUGUCAACCACAUGUAGUACUUGCAAAGGCAUUUUUCUCUUGAGGUAACAAGUGAAAUCUUCAAUGAGAAAUUCUUCUGGAGGCGAGGUAAACAAUUUCUAGAAUGUAGAAUUCUUCAGCUAUUCAGUGAUAUAUAAUAAAUAGUUCUAAAUGUUCUUUGACACAAAUAGAAAAUAAAUAAAUUAAUAAAAUUGGUUUAGCUGCAUAAUACCAAUUACCAAAGCAUGUUAGUUAUCAAAUGCUUACUGUCCAAUAAAUGAUUAAUAUUUUCUUUUUAUACUAUUAUCCCCUUAUCUUGUAUCAUGUGGUUAUUAGCUGUUAAGUUUGGAUGCAGAGCUUUCAGCUUUGUUACUAUGAAUUGUGUAAGAGAUUCACAUCAGUUGAACCAGACAAUACUAGUGAGUGAGCACUUUGGAGAUACACUGAAUUUAAAAUUUGUUACUAUGAACUGUGUAAGAGAUUACUGGACCUAUGAUUCAAAACAGGAGAUUGGUUAUGUUGGACUUAAGAACUAGGGAGCUACAUGUUAUAUGAAUUCUCUACUCCAAACUUUGUACCAUAUUUCUUAUUUUUGAAAGGUUGGGCAUUGUUUCUUUUA